ensembl:lncRNA
ACAGUCCUUGUGGAGCUGUGGAAGUCAAGAUAAGUCAUUAUCCCAGAUCGGUUGUGUGGAAGAAAUCAAAUUAUAUCUUUCCUGAUGGAAGAAAGAAGAGUUGAAAGUGGAAGAGGUAUGCUUACACACUAUGUUAUCUGUGUUGCUCUUGGUUUAGCUUCCCAUUCUCCAGUGAUCUUCCUUGAAUAUGUGUAGUAGUGUGUGGUCAUAGUACCCAAAUCUCUUUUUUUCACAUUCCUGAAUGUUCAGUCAGAUAACUGGAAUUUAUGUACAUAUUGUACAGUAUCCUGCAGUUUGUUUCUAACUCUUAAAGGUGGGUUUGAAAUAUGCUUUGUUUUCAAGCACCGUGUUGUAGGUUCUCAAGAUCUCCCGAAGGCCUUGCAUAUAGCUCCUGAUCAGUGUAUGUUUAUCUACACAAAAUUCAAGCAAAACUCAGCAGGAUUAUAGUUGCCUCCAUUCAAGGUGAUAUUGGACCCUUGGAUACUCUUCAGGGUCUAUAGGUAAUUGGAGCAAGCUCUUCCCAUUUUUGGUCAGCUGAUCCUGAAAAACAGUGUAGCAGUAAAUAAUGAGAGACUUCAUGUCAGCUUUCAUAGAAACUCUUGUAUCUGAGUCACCCAGAGCUGUAUUAUAGCAUAAGAAUUUCAUGUUGGUUAUCCCUACAGUUUGCCAGCUGAUUGUAUCGCCAGAAAUCUGUUUGGCAACAAUUAGCUAAAUCUAGUCUUCAAAUCUAAAGCCUCAGGAUGCUUUCCCAAAAUAGGGGAUAUCCCAAAGCAACUUGUUUUUGGUGAGCUGUGAUAGCAAUUUCAGUAGUUGGUGUGGUAGUUGGUGUGGGAUCAGUAAAGCCAACGGUCCAUUCUGAAAAACUUAUUAUUCAUUACUGCUCUGAUUAACAUUCUUCUUCAUAUGACUCAAAGAUGAUAACAAAACUCAGAAAGGGACUGGGUGCUGUUCUGGUAAUAGCAACAGUAUGGACCCAUAGGGGCUUGAACCUUGAAUCUAAUGAACAUUCUCUUUUAGAGGUCCAGCUUGUCUAGAUUUCCAUGAAGAACAACAGAUGGAUCUUUCACUGUAUUUAUAUAUCCAUGUUUGAGUUACUAGAUGCUGGCUACUUGUUAGUUUAUGACCAAUUGCUUCACAGAGAGAGUAGCACAGGGAGUCUAGUUUUCUGUUAAUAAAAGAUAUUUGCAUCCUAAGAAAGCAACAGCCCUAUACCUGCUAUAUUGACUUAUCUAAUUACAUAGAAUCACAGAAUCAUACAAUCAUAGAAUUACAGAAUAAUAAAAAGACUUGAGUUGGAGGGGAACUUAAAGAUCAUUUAGUUUCAACCCUCCUGCCGUAAAAGGGCUACCAUCCACCACAUCAGGCUACCUAGGACCUCAUCCAACAUGGCCUCAAACACCUGCAGGGAUGGGGCAUCCAUAGCUUCUCUGGACAGCCUGUGCCAGCGCCUCAUUGCCUUCUGAGUAAAGAAUUUCCUCCUAAUACCUAACCAAAAUCUCCUCUUUUAAUUAAAGCUAUUACCCCUUUUUUUUCUUAUCCUUAUCAGACCAUGAAAAAAGUUGGUCUCCCUUCUGUUUAUAAACUCCUCUGAAGUCUUGAAAGGCUGUAGUGAGGUCUUCCUGGAGCCUUCUCUUCUUCAAGCUUAACAAGCACAACUCCCACAGUCUUUCUUCACAGGACAGGUGCUCCAGCCCUCUGGUCAUCUCUGUGGCCCUUUCUAGAUCAACUCCAACACCUCCACGUCUUUCUCGUUCUGGAGGCUCCAGUGUACCGAUGCAGUGUACUGGAGGCAAGGCCUCACAAGGGCACAGAACAGGGGAAAAUCAUCUCCCUCUCCCCACUGGCCGUCCAUCUUUUCAUGCAGCCCGAGAUAUAGUUGGCCUUCCAGGAUGCAAGUACACUCUGCUGGCUCAUGUCAACCUUUUGUUCCACCAGGACCCCCAAGUCCUUCUCUACAGGCCUGCUCUCCAUGUGUUCUGCUCUCAGUCUGUACACAUAUCUGGGACUGCCCUGGCCCAAGAGCAACAUCUUGUACUUGGACUUGUUGAAUCUCAUUAGGUUCACAUGGGCCCACUUUUCAAGCUUGUUGAGGUCCCUCUGGAUGGCAUCCCUUCCUUCUGCUGCAUCAACUGCACCAUUCAUCUUGGUGUCAUCAGCAAACCUGCUGAGGGUGUACUCCAUCCCCCUGUCUAUGUCACUGAUAAAGAUGUUGGAGAGUGCUGAUAGCUAGAUGGAACCCUGGGGAGCACUACUCAUCACUCACCUCCAGCUGUACAUAGAGCCGUUGAUCACAACCCACUGACUGCGACCACUCAGCCAGUUCUUUAUCCGCCAAACAGCCCAGUCUUCAAAUCCACAUCUCUCCAAUUUAGAGAUAAUGACGUGGUGUGGGACCAUAUCAAAGGUUUUGCAGAAAUACAGGUAGAUUACUUCUGUUGCCCUUUGUUUGUCCACCAACGUCAUCAUAGAAUACCACCAGACUGAUGAAGCUCUAUCUGCCCUUGGUGAAGCUGUGCUGGCUGCCACAAAUCACCUCUUUGUCUCACAUGUGCCUUAACAUAUCUUCCAGAAGGAUCUGCUCCAUGAUCUUUCCAGGCACAGAUAUGAGGAUCAUGACCCCAGGUCUUCCUUUCUCCUUUUCUUGAAAAUGAGUGUGAUGUUUCCCUCUCCAAGCUUAGUUCAAUCUGCACCUUUAAUUUCCUUCAAAUGAUUUGGUGAUAAUACCUCUAAGCUGAAUGCUGUUUUCUUGUGUAGUUGAAAGUCUUGGAAGGACCCAGACAGCUCCUCUCAUUAUUUCAGAAUAUACAUCAUAAGGCUUUACUGUUUUUGCCAGCUAGUUCCAGUGAAAGUGCCGCAGAAAAGUUGCAAUCUUAUGUGACAUUCAACCAUUUAAUUAAAACUUUUGUGUUUAGUUUCAUUUUUUCAACUCAAUAGGCUGUGAAACAAGGCUUCUGUUUAACACUGAAUUUCCAAGCAAGUUCUCUAUCCCAUAGACCUGUGGUGACCAAAUGGAAUCUGAAAUAAUGGAAGAUUCCCUUUCUUGACGGAAAAGGUUUGGUGCAGCUUCCCACCAUCUUUUCUGUUUGGUUUCUGUUGUUGUUUGUUUAUUUUUGUUGCUGUUGUUUGUUAAUUGGCUUGUUGUUGUUGUUAUGCUAAUGGCUAUAUUGUAGAAGAUUUAACAGAAAAGUAUUUAUGUUGUUAAGUGACAGUGAAAACCUCCAACACUUCCCUAUUGCUAUGCAAAUGGACAGUCUAAGGAUCAUUUGCUUUUAGGCAGCUUUGGUUUCAACAAUUAUUUUUUAUAAGAUGAAAUUCCAGCCUGCGCUGAGGGAUGAUCCCAUGUGCUAGUUUCUAACAAAUGGUUUAGCAUCUGGGUAGAGAUUUUGCUACUGUGGUAAAUUGCUGUUGCAGAACACCGUGACAUGAAGAUGAGAUUAUCCACUACAUGAGUGGUCUCAUAGUGCCUGUGAACGUGAAGCUAAACCCUGAGCUUAACGUCUGUUGUGCUGUUGUGCUCGCAGCACUCCAACAUGGCUGUGAGGCAGGAACAGCAAAUCUAUGCCACACCAGAAGGCUCAAUCAGUUCCAGAUGUGCUAUAUUUGGUCUAUCUGCAAGACAAAAUGUCAGGACAAGAGUUCCAGCGCUGGAGUCCUUAAAAGUUAUUAAAUGUUUGGUAGUAACAGCAUGCUUGUAAAAGCCUGGGUAUGGGAGUAUGGUCAUAGCAUUGUUCAUAUGGCUGACAUGAGAAGUCACAAGGCUGUGCGUUGGUGGUAAAGUAAGCCAUCUGCUUUCUUGAUGCAACGCAUGUAAAGCCAUUGUGAGUCUAAUCUGAAGAGUCAACGGAUUCACCCUCGUGGGUGGGAAGCAGCAGCCUGCUGCACAGCAAGAUGGCACCAGAUCUCUCUUACUGCCCUAAAUAAUUCUGGAACAAGAUGUGUACAGAUCAGGUGGGAACUUCAGGUUGCACUAAGUACAGGCUGGAGAUCCUGCAUUGACAGUGCCGCUUGUGCACAUACCUGUCUCCAGUCUUAAUGUGGUUUUAUUGUCAUUUGUCCACAUGAAACAAUGCUCCAGUACUGAUAAAGCUAAUGAAAUUCCUGAUAGAAGCAUGGAAUAUGCAUUCUCUUUCAUGUCUUUGGUGAAAACUUCUUUCUUGAUGCCUUAGCAUUUGCAGAAACAUAUUGCUAAGCUAAAUACAGAUGAAAUU